rnacentral:tRNA from 1 species
GGAGAGAUGGCUGAGUGGAUUAAAGCAACAGAUUGCUAAUCUGCUGUAUAAAAAUACCAAGGGUUCGAAUCCCUUUCUUUCC